UACGGGGAGGGGUGUGUUGUUGAAUCUGGGCGUAAAGCGCACGUAGGCGGAUCAGAAAGUUGGGGGUGAAAUCCCGGGGCUCAACCCCGGAACUGCCUCCAAAACUCCUGGUCUUGAGUUCGAGAGAGGUGAGUGGAAUUCCGAGUGUAGAGGUGAAAUUCGUAGAUAUUCGGAGGAACACCAGUGGCGAAGGCGGCUCACUGGCUCGAUACUGACGCUGAGGUGCGAAAGUGUGGGGAGCAAACAGGAUUAGAUACCCCGGUAGUCC
rnacentral:rRNA from 1 species